rnacentral:misc_RNA from 1 species
AACGCACGAGACCUGCGGACCUGCGGAGGGAUCAUUAGUGAACGCCCUCACGGGCUUAUAACUAUUCCAAACCUCUGUGAACCGUGCCCCUCGGGGCUAUUUUACAAACAUGGUGUAAUGAACGUCAUAUAUCAUAACAAAACAAAACUUUUAGCAAUGGAUCUCU